rnacentral:lncRNA from 1 species
UUUGUUUGAUGGUCUGGAGGUAGUCCGAAUGCUUCUGUUAUCACCGACUGAUGAUGAAAUGGAUGGUGAAGGCUUGGCUCAGUUGUCGGAAAGAGUGAAUAGAAUUUGGCUUCAGACUGAAAUACUAAUGUCGGGCCGUCCCCUUCAAAAAGAAAGGGAAGACUCGGCACAGGAUAGCGUCAGAAGCAUCCUGAAGAAGAAUGACUGC